rnacentral:rRNA from 1 species
UACGAGGGCUGCAAGCGUUAUCCGGAAUUAUUGGGCGUAAAGCGUUUGUAGGCAGGCGAGUGUGCUUAAUGUUAAAUCUUAAAGCUCAACUUUGAAAUUGCGUUAAAAACUGCUUGUCUUGAGUAUGGUAGGGGUAAAGGGAAUUCCCAGUGUAGCGGUGAAAUGCGUAGAUAUUGGGAAGAACACUAAACAGCGAAGGCACUUUACUAGGCUAAUACUGACGCUGAGAAACGAAAGGUAAGGUAGCGAAACGG